rnacentral:rRNA from 1 species
GCUAUUGGAGUUCGAUUAAGCCAUGCGAGUCGAGAGUCUUAGGGACUCGGCGUACCGCUCAGUAACACGUGGGUAACCUGCCCUAUGCUGGGGAAUAACCUCGGGAAACUGAGAAUAAUGCCCCAUAGUCCACAAUGCCUGGAACGGUUUGUGGAUCAAAGCUCCGGCGGCAUAGGAUGGGCCUGCGGCGUAUCGGGUUGUAGGGGGUGUAACGUACCCUCUAGCCAUCAACGCGUACGGGUGUUGGGAGACAUAGCCCGGAGAUGGAUUCUGAGACACGAAUCCAGACCCUACGGGGUGCAGCAGGCGCGAAAACUUGGCAAUGCGAGAAAUCGUGACCAGGGAACUCCAAGUGGCUGGGGUAAGACCCAGUCUUUUCUUGACUCUUCAAAGGUCUUGGAAUAAGGGGUGGGUAAGGACGGUGCCAGCCGCCGCGGUAAUACCGGCGCCUCAAGUGGUAGUCGAUUUUAUUGGGCCUAAAACGUCCGUAGCCUGUUUGGUACAUUCGUGGGUAAAUCAACCAGCUCAACUGGUUGAAUUCUGCGAGCACGGCCAGACUUGGGACCGGGAGAGGUGUGGGGUACGCUCAGGGUAGGGGUAAAAUCCUGUCAUCCUGAGCGGACCACCUGUUGCGAAGGCGCCACACUAGAACGGAUCCGACGGUCAGGGACGAAGCCUAGGGGCACGAACCGGAUUAGAUACCCGGGUAGUCCUAGGUGUAAACGCUGUGGACUUGGUGUUGGGGACUCUCCGAGAAUCCUCAGUGCCGAAGCGAAGGUGAUAAGUCCACUGCCUGGGGAGUACGGUCGCAAGGCUGAAACUUAAAGGAAUUGGCGGGGGAGCACCGC